AUUGAACGCUGGCGGCAUGCUUUACACAUGCAAGUCGAACGGCAGCGGGGAGGAGCUUGCUUCUCUGCCGGCGAGUGGCGAACGGGUGAGUAAUGCAUCGGAACGUGUCGAGAAGAGGGGGAUAACCACCCGAAAGGGUGGCUAAUACCGCAUAAAUUCUGAGGAAGAAAGCUGGGGACCUAGGAAUAGGCCUAGCGCUUUUUGAGCGGCCGAUGUCGGAUUAGCUAGUUGGUGAGGUAAAGGCUCACCAAGGCGAAGAUCUGUAGCGGGUCUGAGAGGAUGAUCCGCCACACUGGGACUGAGACACGGCCCAGACUCCUACGGGAGGCAGCAGUGGGGAAUUUUGGACAAUGGGGGCAACCCUGAUCCAGCCAUGCCGCGUGUAUGAAGAAGGCCUUAGGGUUGUAAAGUACUUUUGUUAGGGAAGAAAAGUCAGCUGUGAAUAAUGGCUGAUACUGACGGUACCUAAAGAAUAAGCACCGGCUAACUACGUG
rnacentral:rRNA from 1 species